GGGGGUGUUUGCGCGGCUGGUGCCGGCCCCGGUCUUCAAAACCGGUGGGGGCCGUGAACAACGGCCCCGGAGGGUUCGAUUCCCUUCCACUCCCG
rnacentral:tRNA from 1 species